GUCGAUUAUUCAGUUUAACUUUAUUGUACUACAUGCAUAGUUAAUUUCACUAUAAUUAUAUAUUCUAAACAAAAAAAAACCCUUACAUUUUUUUAUAAUAUUUUCUUUUUAUAAUAUUUCUAUGAUAUUAAUGUUUUACUAAUCUAUUAUUCAGUUUAACUUUAUUCUACCACAUGCAUAGUUAAUUUCACUAUAUUUGUUCAAAGUCAAAGAAGCUUCGUUAGUGAAAACCAACCCUUGGUUUUUUUGCUUUAAUUUUCUGCAACCCUUUGUAAUUUUGGACCUUAAAAUAUCGGCACAACCUAACUUCACGAUCAAUGGUAUUUUUCUUCAAUCAAGAAUACAGGGGUUGUUUACCAUUUACAUGGAAAACUCAUCCGGUUUGAAAUUAUGCUGAUGGUAAGCAAAAUUUCAGAUAGAAAAUCCCAUUCGAAUUAUGCGCUUUCCAUUUAGAGUGACUGACUGGAAGGCACUGAAGGAUUGUUUACCAUUUACAUGGAAAACCCAUUCGGUUUGAAUUAAUAGUUUUAAACGUUAUUUCAAUUUCUAAAGGUCUCUUUUUUCUAAUAUAUUCACGCCAUCAACAUUUCCGACGCACUACGGUUCAGCAUAUUUGCAAUUGACUCUACAUUGAGAUUUUUGAGUGAAAUUACUCUAAAGACCUCCCAUACCAAAAAGCCUUCCGAUGCCAAUAAAUUUAUAAAGACUAUAAAUGCCUUUAGCCUGUAAGUUAUACCUAAUUUUCAAUCUUCAUCGGUACAAAAUAUUAUAUAAUUUUCUUAUAAUGUUAGCAAACAGUUUACAUUAUAGUUUUUUUAUAGACAUAGUCUUUUUAAUUAUCAGUUUAAUUAUCUUCCAUUUAUAUGGUUAAUUUCAAUAUUUAUUCACAUGUCAACACUUUCUGAUUCUAUACUCUACAUGUACCAAAAACAAAUUAUGUGGAAGUACAAAAUAAAUGUGUUGUGAGCACAACAAUAUAUCCAUUGCUUUAAAAGUAUAUGGCAAUAAAAAUUAACUUUGUCUUAUUUGAAAGAACUUUUACGGCUAUAUGAAGACCCUUUACAACUUUUUCGUACCUUGUUUAAUUUGUGUGUGCAGUCUGCCAUCUUGGUACUAUAAUUGACCUAAUUAACUGAGUUUUUGAUGACAUCACAAGCAGGGUAAACUUGUUAAAACUUCUUCAUAUGGGACUAAAUUUCUUCGAAAAGUUUCUUAAAAUAUUCUGAGUUUAAUUGAGUACUAAAAGACUUCGGAAAAUCGAGUUUCAUAUUGAUAAUGACAUGUGAUUUGCAAGAUAAAAAUUUCGCUUUUUACCCUACUAGUGGCGUAUGCAUAUUGAAUGCAUAUCCAAGAUGGCGGAAUGCCCGCUGCUUUUGAUCAAAAUAAGUUGAUUUAUUUCGAGAACUAAACAAGAUACGGA